rfam:Treponema denticola ATCC 35405, complete genome.
AUGGACACGGAUGUCCAUGGUUCCAAACUUGAGAGUUUUGCGUAAGCAAAACUCUAAGAUUAAAAAUGUACAAGGAUGUACAUUUUUAAUCGACC